CCUACGGGAGGCAGCAGUAGGGAAUUUUCCGCAAUGGGGGCAACCCUGACGGAGCAACGCCGCGUGAGUGAAGACGGCCUUCGGGUUGUAAAGCUCUGUUCUUGGGGAAGAAAACAAUGACGGUACCCAAGCAGAAAGCCCCGGCUAACUACGUGCCAGCAGCCGCGGUAAUACGUAGGGGGCAAGCGUUGUCCGGAAUUAUUGGGCGUAAAGCGCGCGCAGGUGGUGGAUUAAGUUGUGGGUAAAAGGCAAUGGCUCAACCAUUGUAAGCCUGCAAAACUGGUUCACUUGAGUGCAGGAGAGGGGAGUGGAAUUCCCGGUGUAGCGGUGGAAUGCGUAGAUAUCGGGAGGAACACCAGUGGCGAAGGCGACUCUCUGGCCUGUAACUGACACUGAGGCGCGAAAGCGUGGGGAGCGAACAGGAUUAGAUACCCUGGUAGUCCACGCCGUAAACGAUGAGUGCUAGGUGUUGGGGACAUCACGUCUUCAGUGCCGAAGGAAACCCAUUAAGCACUCCGCCCGGGGAGUACGGCCGCAAGGCUGAAACUCAAAGGAAUUGACGG
rnacentral:rRNA from 1 species